AUGGCGUGCUUCAACUGCAGUGAGUCCCCGGCCAUGGCCGGGUGCCCCUUUGGUCGCGACGCAGCGCCGUCGGCGGUGGGCAUCAUGAUGCCGUCAUGGAGGCACAAUCAGAUCGACCUCUCGCGCAGCCGGCCGCCGCCCUCGUUGCCGCAGACGGAGGCUGCCUCCUCGCCGGAUCGGGUCGGAGCGGCGUCCCAAGAGACAAGACGCACACGGUGCCCGCCGCCUCGAUCUACCUCUCCCGGCGCGGCCCAUCUGGACGAGAUGUUGCCGUGGUGGAUCUGGCCACCGCCCCGCUGA
rnacentral:rRNA from 1 species